CAAACGACUCUCGGCAACGGAUAUCUCGGCUCUCGCAUCGAUGAAGAACGUAGCGAAAUGCGAUACUUGGUGUGAAUUGCAGAAUCCCGUGAACCAUCGAGUCUUUGAACGCAAGUUGCGCCCGAAGCCAUCAGGCCGAGGGCACGCCUGCCUGGGCGUCACGC
rnacentral:rRNA from 2 species